CACCACAUUAUCCACCUGUAAUAUUUUCCUAUUUUGUCACUCAUUUUUUCCAUGGCACAUUUGCGAAGAGCUGAUCACAGAGCGGCAGUGUCUUUAAUCAGACUCUACGGGCUGUAAAGUGAGAGAAUCUAAACGUGACGUCAAUGCCUAGUGACUGACGCAGCCCUUCAACGAAAAAAAAAACUGGCUUUUUAUUUAUUAUUUUCUUCUUCUUCUCGUCAGCAUAGCUUAAUUACUACAUUUUACAGUGCUCUGUCGACUAACAGAAAAAAUAAAAUUCGGCAGGCAGCGUCGGGUUAUCUGCAUACAUCAGUAUUUGGACCUAUUUUGCGUUCAUGAGUUUUAGCUGCUGAAGUGACACUGGGACGAGAAGCUUCUGAAGAGGGCGACAAGACAUCACAUAUUGUCCAUGAUAUUGGCAGCGACGACGACUUCCAGAUUGUAGUUGCAGAGGCUGAAAGUGUGUUUUAAGGAAGCGAAUGAGGUGGUGCUGCUGUUGAAGGCACAUUGGGUUCCUAAAAAAAGAAAAAGAAUCACUGCAAUGAUGCAACGGAGGGGAAUCGGGGCUCUUGUGCAGAGUUGGAGAGGCAAAAUUAAUUGACAUUACAUGCACUUCACGUAACGUUCCUAAGCGAUGCCUUUUGUCAGUGUGUUUUUUUUAAUUUUUUUCUCCUUCGUACUGAGACCUAAAAAUAGCAUCAUAGUUUUGAUCGUGCGCCAUAAAUAGACAGACGGGUAUCACUUGUAUAAAAAGGGAGGCGAUCCUGAGCAAACUUGGACGUGCCACUUUCAGAACAAGGACGUGCCUGCACGACGGAGAGAACAAUGGCAACAAAAACAAGAGCAAAGAUGGUGGUGAGGUGCCCGGGUGGACCCUGCCUCUGCUGUGGGAGCCUCCAGCUGUGCUCCGGGGAAAAAAGGGGGACACGCGUAUUGGAGGCUUUUCACCAAGGAGCACAGAGAGAAAGGGAGGGAGAGAGAGAGAGACCCACCUUCCUCCUCCUCCUGCUGCUUGUCGUCCCCUCUUCCUCACCCCGAGAAAGGGGCCCGAGGUGAGGGGAAAUCCUGACUGACUGAAACCCCGGCCGAUGAGUUUCCUCUUCCUUCUCUCCAAGCGUGAGCACCUUCUCCCUCUUCUCCCUCUUCUCCUUCUCUUCCUUCUCUACAACACGUGCAUCAGAUUCUCCCCCUAAACCUGUAAAACUUCAUGGAUUAAGGAUCUAAACGAUGAUUGUGAGAGGGAAGACUGAGGAAACAGGAAAGGACAAUGAAGUGGGAAGGAGGGGUGAGGCAGUUGCACCACCCGAAAUGUGGGAGUCAGGCCGGUUUGAGACGGACACACCCGCCCCCCCCCCCUGUCCUCAUUACCACAGAGUCGUCUAAUCACAGUACGGCAGCCACCAUGUGAGCAGCUGUAUAUCUGGAAGUAACACACACAUGCAAACAGUGUCCUCGGAUGCUGUAAGGUUGCUGUGGUCGAUGGAUCAGGACUAUAGCUGUUGUGCUGCGAGGACACGACCGAGACGAGAAGUGGACUCUCAAAAACGUCCGAUGGGAAUGUGUGUGUGUGUGUGUGUGUGUGUGUGUGUGUGUGUGUGUGUGUGUGUGUCUAAUGUUUGAAAUGUGAUGCUAUUUAAUGUUAUCAGUUUAAACACACUUUGAGGCUACUCUCUUACAAAUCUAAUGUAAUUAAAUGGCUGUGUUCACUACACUUAAAUGCUGUUUAUGUGCGGUUUUUAAUGUAAAAAUUGUUGGCAAAUAUGCUAUAUGUGUGCAAAAUCAGCGUCCCUAUUGCAGCCUGUAAAUUGAUAAAGGUAGAUUAAUUUAUAUUUGCCAGAGUAUAAAAUCGUUCCUGUAAAAGUAUUUUUUUGACAGAAGACAUUUACUCUGCACAUUGUAACUAUGACUGAGAGACAUCAGGUCAGCAAUGCAUUUAAUUCCCCCCGUUUGAAAUGGUUACACAACUUGCAGCUGCUUCCUCUCGGUGUCACGUUGACUUCGAUCCCUCCACUUGUGUCAAAGAAUGCGAGCAGCUGCACGAUGACUGUCAGCAUGUAGGCACAUUUUUAUACUCUUGUCCCUCUGCUGAGUACAUGACAGGUUUUGCUUUGUGCCACAGAGCAUCGGUGAGUCAGAAUUUCAUGUUUAGUUUCGGUGUGUGUGUGUGUGUGUGUGUGUGAGGGAGACAGGGAGCAUGGCGGCAGAAGGGGGUGAGUUGGAGAAAAACAUUCUGUAGCAAAAAGCCUUUUUGGGUCGGUGUGGGUAACUAAAUACUGCUGAGGAGAAAAUCGUGACAGACGGUUGUUCUGAAACAUUAUUGUCUGUUUAUUCAUGUGCAUUGAAAUGUUAAACUGUUAAAUAAAGCGAUGGAAACGCA